UACGAAGGGGGCUAGCGUUGCUCGGAAUCACUGGGCGUAAAGCGCACGUAGGCGGCUUUCUAAGUCAGGGGUGAAAUCCUGGAGCUCAACUCCAGAACUGCCUUUGAUACUGGAGAGCUUGAGUCCGGGAGAGGUGAGUGGAACUCCGAGUGUAGAGGUGAAAUUAGUAGAUAUUCGGAAGAACACCAGUGGCGAAGGCGGCUCACUGGCCCGGUACUGACGCUGAUGUGCGAAAGCGUGGGGAGCAAACAGG
rnacentral:rRNA from 1 species